rnacentral:lncRNA from 1 species
AUUUCGUGUUUUUAAGCACAGCAUUGCGGGAUCAGGACCCCUCCUACCCUCCCUCACGGGGGCUUCUGGUUUCAAGUUAAACGUGGAAUAAUCAUACAAACUCUCAGACAGAUUCUUGUGAAAUUAAUUUCCUCAAAAUCAUUAAUUAAUAUAAAAAAAAUUAAAACAUUUCGAACAUUUUGAAAACAAAUAAUAAAAUAAAAAAAAAACCUACCCUUUGCAGUUCAAUUGUACGUAAGUUUUGGAUUGCAGCAAUCUUCCAAAAUAUCAGAAAUCUGUACUAGCAGUUUCUUGUGUCCUUAUCCAGAACAUCUAAAAUAGUUUUUUCGUCACCAAUAUAAAGAUGCAUCCAUCGCUGUCGAAAAAUCUUUUCAAACUGAUUACCCGCCGUUUCUGAAGCCCG